rnacentral:lncRNA from 1 species
UUUUUUUUUUUUUGUCUUUUUGCUAUUUCUUGGGCCACUCCCACGGCAUAUGGAGGUUCCCAGGCUAGGGGUCGAAUCCGAGCUGUAGCCACAGGCCUACACCAGAGCCACAGCAACACGGGAUCCGAGCCGCGUCUGCAACCUACACUACAGCUUACGGCAAUGCCGGAUCGUCAACCCACUGAGCAAGGGCAGGGACCGAACCCGCAACCUCAUGGUUCCUAGUCGGAUUCGUUAACCACUGCGCCACGACGGGAACUCCAUAGAUUUUUUUUUUAAUGGUGAGAAUACAUCCACAGAAUGCUCUGCCUGUGUUAGGCAGAAAACAAGCCAAUGUUGUUGAGUGUCUACCAUGUGCCAAACUGUAUACUUUACAUAUUAUUUCAUUUCAUCUUCACAAUAACUCUAUGAUAUAGAUACACUUAUCUUCAUUGAACUGUGGUUUAGGGAGAUUUAAUUACUUGCCUGAGUUCUCAUAACAAGUAACUGCCAGCUUCAAGAUAUGAGCCACAUAUAUCUGAUUUUAAAAUGAAUGAAUUGCCCACCAUGCCUUGUGGCCUCUUAGGAUCAUGGCUAUGGUCUGAAUUUCAUAGGAUUUUCAAAUUUAUUAAGGCCAAUGGCCAUAUCUUAUUCAACAUUGUGCCCCUUCCCUUAGAAUCUAGGACAGCUCCUGGCUUAUACUGGAUCUGCAAAAUGUAUACUAUUAAAAUCAACUAGAGGUGAUUACUUGAUUAUACAGCCUUUAUGAUCAAUCACCAAGCAACUGAAAACCCUCUGAGGACUCCUGAUGUCUCUGUGGGGCUCAGGGUUUGGGAUGAGUUGCUCCAAUGGUAGAGUAAGGAAACAACAGGGGUGGGGGGUAACACUCAUCUAUAGAACAACUUAAUCACUUAGAAUUCUGGCUGAGAAAAUAUGAAGAAAGUCCAAUUCCUACUCCUCCAGUUUCAAGCACAGGAAUGGAAAAGAGCUCCGAACAGUCUUCAGAGGAUCCAUAGUCGUCUUGAAAAGUCUUCUAUUCUAGCAUAAUGACAACAUGCAUGGGCCCCAAAAGCCACCUAACUAUAUAUGCAAAGUGCUGUAAUUAAGAAGCAGCCACUCUCUAGGCAUAACAAAACUAGGACAAAAUCUGGAUGUAAAGUGGUUGACCUCAUAUGGCCAAAAUUUUGUGUGUCUGAUGGUAAAGCAACAACAUAGCAGCUAAUCCAAUAGUUAGAGGCACAACACUUGAUGAGGCUUGGGGUUAUGAGAUGGCUUUUCUUUCCUGCCCUGGCCCCUCCUCUUCUUCCUCUCCCUCAUCCUUCUUGAAAGCGCACUCCUGGAUUUGGCGGUCCAGCUCGGAGAAGUUCCCUUCCUGGUCUGAGCUGCUGUCGGUACUGUAAUCAAUCUCCUCCAGGCAGGGAGGUUCAUCAUCCAGUUCUGAAGUGGUGCUGCUACUGCUGCUGCAUCUGCCAUGAGGUCCCAUAAAACAUGGAGAAGAAAGGAAGGAGAGGAAAGGAGGGAAGGGAAAAGGGGAAAAAAAAGGGAAAGG